rnacentral:rRNA from 1 species
CCCUUAGAUGUUCUGGGCCGCACGCGCGCUACACUGACGAUGGCAACGAGUUUUUCCUUCGCCGAAAGGUGUGGGUAAUCUUUUGAAACAUCGUCGUGCUGGGGAUAGAUCAUUGCAAUUUUUGAUCUUGAACGAGGAAUUCCGAGUAAGCGCGAGUCAUCAGCUCGCGUUGAUUACGUCCCUGCCCUUUGUACACACCGCCCGUCGCUACUACCGAUUGAAUGGUUUAGUGAGGACUCCUGAUUGGCGCCGCCGCCCCGGCAACGGAGCAGCGGACUGCCGAAAAGUUGUUCAAACUUGAUCAUUUAGAGGAAGUAAAAGUCGUAACA